GCCAGACUCACCUGUCUGUAACCUGACCAGCUGCACGCUCAGCCCAUAGGGUCGGGAAAUCUACACAGCGGUUUUCCCCCAUCUUCUUCCGCCCCGGAAUGGCCCUUGGGGACACAGCAGCCUGAACAACCGACUAAGACUGAAAAAGACUUCGAUUCGGUGAUUGCUUCAAGGGCAGAGCUGAGAUCCAAACUGAACCAGCACCUGAUAGGCACCAUUGCUGAGACUUUCUCUUUUUCUGAGAUUGAGAACAGAUGAGAGACAACCUGGGGCAAGCAGCCACCUUCAUGACCAGCAGCUGCCUGAGGAUGAUGCCAACACAGAGGAGAGCAAAGCCAAAUGAUGUAGAGAGCAAGACU